rnacentral:rRNA from 1 species
GUGAGGAAUAUUGGUCAAUGGGCGCAAGCCUGAACCAGCCAUCCCGCGUGCAGGAAGACGGCCCUAUGGGUUGUAAACUGCUUUUCCAGGGGGAGAAACUUGCGCACGUGUUGCGCAAUUGACGGUACCCUGGGAAUAAGCAUCGGCUAACUCCGUGCCAGCAGCCGCGGUAAUACGGAGGAUGCGAGCGUUAUCCGGAUUCAUUGGGUUUAAAGGGUGCGUAGGCGGACUAUUAAGUCAGUGGUGAAAUCCUGCAGCUUAACUGCAGAACUGCCAUUGAUACUGAUAGCCUUGAGUUUGGUUAAGGUAGGCGGAAUGUGUAAUGUAGCGGUGAAAUGCUUAGAUAUUACACAGAACACCAAUUGCGUAGGCAGCUUACUGAGCCGACACUGACGCUGAGGCACGAAAGCGUGGGGAUCGAACAGGAUUAGAAACCCUAGUAGUCC